UACGGAGGGUGCAAGCGUUAAUCGGAAUUACUGGGCGUAAAGCGCACGCAGGUGGCUGAGUCAGUCGAUUGUGAAAUCCCUCGGCUCAACCGAGGAACUGCGUCCGAUACUGGUGGGCUUGAAUCCGGGAGAGGGAUGCGGAAUUCCAGGUGUAGCGGUGAAAUGCGUAGAUAUCUGGAGGAACACCGGUGGCGAAGGCGGCGAUCCUGGACCGGCAUUGACGCUGAGGCGCGAAAGCCAGGGGAGCAAACGGG
rnacentral:rRNA from 1 species